GACGAACGCUGGCGGCGCGCUUAACACAUGCAAGUCGAACGGAAAGGCCUGCUUUCCCUUGUGGAUUGCGGGUACUCGAGUGGCGAACGGGUGAGUAACACGUGAGUGAUCUGCCCCCAACUUGGGUAUAAGCCUGGGAAACUGGGUCUAAUUCCCGAUAGGACUGCAGGGUGGUGCCUGUGGUGGAAAACGAUUUUCUAGUGGUUGGGGAUGAGCUCGCGGCUUAUCAGCUUGUUGGUGGGGUAAUGGCCUACCAAGGCGGCGACGGGUAGCCGGCCUGAGAGGGUGGACGGCCACAUUGGGACUAAGAUACGGCCCAGACUCCUACGGGAGGCAGCAGUGGGGAAUAUUGCACAAUGGGCGGAAGCCUGAUGCAGCGACGCCGCGUGGGGGAUGACGGCCUUCGGGUUGUAAACUCCUUUCGACCGCGAGGAAGCCACCUGGUUGGAAGGGUGGUGACGGUAGUGGUAGAAGAAGCACCGGCUAACUACGUG
rnacentral:rRNA from 1 species